rnacentral:siRNA from 1 species
UCUUAUGCAGGAGGUUUACAUACC